GGGGAUUUAGCUCAGCGGCAUAAGCACCUGCCUUGCAAGCAGGAGGUCAUGAGUUCAAUCCCCG
rnacentral:tRNA from 1 species